rnacentral:rRNA from 1 species
UACGAAGGGUGCAAGCGUUGUUCGGAAUUACUGGGCGUAAAGCGCGCGUAGGCGGGCCGCUAAGUCGAUUGUGAAAGCCCUGGGCUUAACCUGGGAAUGGCAUUGGAAACUGGCUGGCUGGAGUGUGGCAGAGGGGGUGGAAUUCCACGUGUAGCAGUGAAAUGCGUAGAGAUGUGGAGGAACACCGAUGGCGAAGGCAGCCCCCUGGGCCAACACUGACGCUCAGGCACGAAAGCGUGGGGAGCAAACAGG